AUCGUGCAUAACACAUGCAAGUCGAACGGGACUUUGCGCUGUAGCAAUACAGUGUAAAGUUUAGUGGCAGACGGGUGAGUAAUGUAUAAGAAACCUACCUCUGAGUGGGGAAUAACAGUCCGAAAGGAUUGCUAAUACCCCAUAACAUAACCUAGCGGCAUCGCUUAGUUAUCAAAGAUUUAUCGCUUGGAGAUGGUCUUAUAUUCUAUCAGCUAGUUGGCAGUGUAACGGACUACCAAGGCUACGACGGAUAGCCGGCCUGAAAGGGCGACCGGCCACAAGGGCACUGAGACACGGGCCCUACUCCUACGGGAGGCAGCAGUGGGGAAUUUUGGACAAUGGGCGAAAGCCUGAUCCAGCAACGAUGCGUGGAGGAUGAAGGUUCUCGGAUUGUAAACUCCUUUUGUAAGGGAAGAAAAAAAUGACGGUACCUUACGAAUAAGCCACGGCUAACUACGUGCCAGCAGCCGCGGUAAGACGUAGGUGGCAAGCGUUACUCGGAAUUACUAGGCGUAAAGCGCGCGUAGGCGGAAUGUUAAGUCUGUUGUGUAAUCUCUGGGCUCAACCCAGAAACUGCAACGGAAACUGGCGUUCUUGAGUGAGGCAGAGGAGAUCGGAAUUCCUAGUGUAGCAGUGAAAUGCGUAGAUAUUAGGAGGAACACCGGUGGCGAAAGGCGGAUCUCUGGGCCUUUACUGACGCUCAAGUGCGAAAGCUAGGGGAGCAAACGGGAUUAGAUACCCCGGUAGUCCUAGCCGUAAACGAUGAUAACUAGUUGUGGGAGGUAUCGACCCCUUCCGUGACGCCGCUAACGCAUUAAGUUAUCCGCCUGGGGAGUACGGCCGCAAGGUUAAAACUCAAAGGAAUUGACGGGGACCCGCACAAGAGGUGGAGUAUGUGGUUUAAUUCGACGCUACGCGAAAAACC
rnacentral:rRNA from 1 species